AAGUCGUAACAAGGUUUCCGUAGGUGAACCUGCGGAAGGAUCAUUAAAGAAUUCGGCUUCGCGGCCAAGUUCUCACCCUUUGUAUACCGAAACUAUGUUGCUUUGGCAGGCCACCUUGCUUCGCGGCCGCAGUGUUAACCACUAGAAUCUCUGCUGUCUGAGUACUAUACAAUAGUUAAAA
rnacentral:misc_RNA from 1 species